ACGGGAGGCAGCAGUGGGGAAUAUUGGACAAUGGGGGGAACCCUGAUCCAGCGACGCCGCGUGAGUGAAGAAGUAUUUCGGUAUGUAAAGCUCUAUCAGCAGGGAAGAUGAUGACGGUACCUGACUAAGAAGCCCCGGCUAACUACGUGCCAGCAGCCGCGGUAAUACGUAGGGGGCAAGCGUUAUCCGGAUUUACUGGGUGUAAAGGGAGCGUAGGCGGCCGAGCAAGUCAGGUGUGAAAACCCGGGGCUCAACUCCGGAACUGCAUUUGAAACUGUAUGGCUUGAGUACGGGAGAGGCAAGUGGAAUUCCUAGUGUAGCGGUGAAAUGCGUAGAUAUUAGGAAGAACACCAGUGGCGAAGGCGACUUGCUGGACCGCAACUGACGCUGAGGCUCGAAAGCGUGGGGAGCAAACAGGAUUAGAUACCCUGGUA
rnacentral:rRNA from 1 species